rnacentral:tRNA from 1 species
GCCCACGUAGCUCAGCUAGAUAGAGCACCAAUUUUCUAAAUUGGCGGCCCUAGGUGCAAAUCCUAGCGUGGGUACCA